UACGAAGGGGGCUAGCGUUGCUCGGAAUCACUGGGCGUAAAGGGUGCGUAGGCGGGUCUUUUAAGUCAGGGGUGAAAUCCUGGAGCUCAACUCCAGAACUGCCUUUGAUACUGAAGAUCUUGAGUUCGGGAGAGGUGAGUGGAACUGCGAGUGUAGAGGUGAAAUUCGUAGAUAUUGGGAAGAACACCGGUGGCGAAGGCGGCUCACUGGCUCAUUACUGACGCUCAGGCGCGAUAGCGUGGGGAUCAAACAGG
rnacentral:rRNA from 1 species